rnacentral:rRNA from 1 species
CACGUAGGCGGAUAGAUCAGUGUCUUGUGAAAUCCCUCGGCUUAACCGAGGAACUGCAGGGCAUACUGUCUAUCUUGAGGCAAGUAGGGGUACAUGGAACUCUGGGUGGAGCGGUGAAAUGCGUAGAUAUCCAGAGGAACGCCAGCGGAGAAAUCGGUGUACUGGGCUUGUUCUGACGCUGAGGUGCGAAAGCGUGGGUAGCAAACCGGAUUAGAUACCCGAGUAGUCC